AUUGAACGCUGGCGGCAGGCCUAACACAUGCAAGUCGAGCGGUAACAUUUCUAGCUUGCUAGAAGAUGACGAGCGGCGGACGGGUGAGUAAUGCUUGGGAACAUGCCUUGAGGUGGGGGACAACAGUUGGAAACGACUGCUAAUACCGCAUAAUGUCUACGGACCAAAGGGGGCUUCGGCUCUCGCCUUUAGAUUGGCCCAAGUGGGAUUAGCUAGUUGGUGAGGUAAUGGCUCACCAAGGCGACGAUCCCUAGCUGGUUUGAGAGGAUGAUCAGCCACACUGGGACUGAGACACGGCCCAGACUCCUACGGGAGGCAGCAGUGGGGAAUAUUGCACAAUGGGCGCAAGCCUGAUGCAGCCAUGCCGCGUGUGUGAAGAAGGCCUUCGGGUUGUAAAGCACUUUCAGUCAGGAGGAAAGGUUAGUAGUUAAUACCUGCUAGCUGUGACGUUACUGACAGAAGAAGCACCGGCUA
rnacentral:rRNA from 1 species